ACUUUGCGUUGGAAUAAACUUGUUCAACUACCUGCCGGGCUGUUUGUUGCGACAACCGAAUUGAAAGUCCUAGAAUUGAAUGAUAAUCAACUUGUUCACCUACCUGACGGGCUGUUCAAAGCCACAACCAAAUUACAAGUACUAAAUGUCGUGAGGAAUCAACUUGUAGACCUACCUGACGGGCUGUUCAAAGCC